UUAACAAAAACAUGUCUUUUUGAUUUUUAAUAUAAAGUCUAAUCUGCCCACUGAUAAAUUUUUUUAAUGGCCGCAGUAUUUUAACUGUGCAAAGGUAGCAUAAUAAUUAGUUUUUUAAUUGAAGGCUUGUAUGAAUGAUUGGACGAGAUAUAAACUGUCUCAUUUAAAUUUUUUUUAGAAUUUAAUUUUUUAGUUAAAAAGCUAAAAUAAAAUUAAAAGACGAGAAGACCCCAUAGAUCUUGAUAUUUUUAAUUGUUAUUAUUAUUUGGUUUUUUUAUAAAUUAACAAGUAAAAAAUAUUUUGUUGGGGUGACAUUGAAAUUUAAUAAACUUUCAAAAUUUAAUAACAUUAAUUUAUGAAUUUAUGAUCCUUUAUUAUUGAUUAAAAAUUUAAGUUACCUUGGGGAUAACAGCGUAAUUAUUUUGAAGAGUUCAUAUCGAUAAAAUAGAUUGCGACCUCGAUGUUGGAUUAAGAUUAAUUUUAGGUGUAGUAGUUUAAAAUAUWAAGUCUGUUCGACUUUUAAUUUCUUACGUGAUCUG
rnacentral:rRNA from 1 species